CCGUUAUCAUUGAAGCCACCAGCCAGCUUAGCUCUAAAACAAACAGAACACCAGCCAAAGCGAACCAAUUACAAGCAAAAUUCAAGUUGCCGAAGCAAUAACCCAAGAGAAUCCUUGUAGAUGAUGAUGAUGAUGAACAACACACAGAAUCUGUGCACAUAAGUCUUCUUUAUAUCUUCCCGUAUAUAACACAAACCCUAAACCCAGAAAUGAUUUUCCGCUGUAAGAACCAGAAGCAGAAAGAAUUCAGGCUUAGCCCUUCAAGAACAUGAAAGCAGACAACCCAAAAAGGAAAAAGAAACAGCCCUUGCAAAAAGAAAAGGAAAACCAACAACAGCGAGAGAAAGUUUAUCUAAUAAUUUAGACUAAAGCGAAAGAGAGACAAAGAAAGACCCG
rnacentral:misc_RNA from 1 species